GGAAAAUUAGAAUUACGUUUCUCAAAUUUCUUGAAUUCAGUAGACCUUUUUUCUAGGAUACGGUCCUAGUGUGAUACUACUCUUGAAUUUUCAGAGCCUCCACUCAUUCCUCCAUUGCCAUGGAUAUUAGGUGCUCAGAACUGUGAAUGGACACACCCUAAGGAGGUUUAACAUGAGUUUACGUGGUCAAGGGAAUUUUUAGGUUUGUGGUAACUUCACUGCCAAGAGGUUUAGUUCAUAACAGAAGGGCUUCCUUCAAUGUCUCCUCUCCAAAAAACCAGAAGAUGGAUCCUUCAGUACUCAGAGCCAGUAUCUUGCCGUGGGGAAGAAUACUUGACCAUAUCUCCCUUCCCCAUUCUGAUACAUGUGAACUCCCAA
rnacentral:lncRNA from 1 species